rnacentral:rRNA from 1 species
UACAGAUUGUGCGAGCGUUAAUCUUAAUUACUGGGCGUAAAGCGUGCUUAUACGGUUUCUUAAGUCAGAUGUGAAAGCCCCGGGCUCAACCUGGGAAUUGCAUUUGAGACUGCUCUGCUCGGGUGCGGAAGAGGGAAGCGGAAUUUCCGGUGUAGCGGUGAAAUGCGUAGAUAUCGGAAGGAACACCAGUGGAGAAAGCGGCUUGAUGGUCCGACACCGACGUUCAGGAAAGAAAGCGUGGGGAGCAAACAGG